rnacentral:rRNA from 1 species
CAUCCAGACUCCUACGGGAGGCAGCAGUGGGGGAUAUUGCACAAUGGGGGGAACCCUGAUGCAGCGACGCCGCGUGGGUGAAGGAGCGUUUCGGCGCGUAAAGCCCUAUCGGCAGGGAAGAAGGAGGACGGUACCUGACUAAGAAGCCCCGGCUAACUACGUGCCAGCAGCCGCGGUAAUACGUAGGGGGCAAGCGUUAUCCGGAUUUACUGGGUGUAAAGGGGGCGCAGACGGCAGCGCAAGCCAGGAGUGAAAGCCCGGGGCCCAACCCCGGGACUGCUCUUGGAACUGCGCGGCUGGAGUGCAGGAGGGGCAGGCGGAAUUCCUGGUGUAGCGGUGAAAUGCGUAGAUAUCAGGAGGAACACCGGUGGCGAAGGCAGCGUGCCGUGCCGCCACUGACGCUGAGGCACGAAAGCGCGGGGAUCGAACAGGAUUAGAUACCCCUGUAC